rnacentral:rRNA from 1 species
GUAGCAAGAUAAGUGGGCUUGAUUGUGGGGGAAACUCCACAGUUAAGCAUGCUUCAGCCAAAGGCAUCUUGGGAUGGGUGACCACCUGAGAAGUUUUGGUUACUGGGUGCA